rnacentral:snRNA from 1 species
AUACUUACCUGGCAGGGGAGAUACUAUGAUCACGAAGGUGGUUUUCCCAGGGUGAGGCUUAUCCAUUGCACUCCUGAUGUGCUGACCCCUGCGAUUUCCCCAAAUGUGGGAAACUUGACUGCAUAAUUUGUGGUAGUGGGGGACUGCGUUCAUACUUUCCCCUG